rnacentral:rRNA from 1 species
GACGAACGCUGGCGGCGUGCCUAAUACAUGCAAGUAGAACGCACAGUUUAUACCGUAGCUUGCUACACCAUAAACUGUGAGUUGCGAACGGGUGAGUAACGCGUAGGUAACCUGCCUGGUAGCGGGGGAUAACUAUUGGAAACGAUAGCUAAUACCGCAUAAUAUUGAUUAUUGCAUGAUAAUUGAUUGAAAGAUGCUAUUGCAUCUCUACCAGAUGGACUUGCGUUGUAUUAGCUAGUAGGUGAGGUAACGGCUCACCUAGGCGACGAUACAUAGCCGAACUGAGAGGGUGAUCGGCCACACUGGGACUGAGACGCGGCCCAGACGCCUACGGGAGGCAGCAGUAGGGAAUCUUCGGCAAUGGACGGAAGUCUGACCGAGCAACGCCGCGUGAGUGAAGAAGGUUUUCGGAUCGGAAAGCUCGGUUGUAAGAGAAGAACGGGUGUGGGAGUGGAAAGUUCACACUGUGACGGUAUCUUACCAGAAAGGGACGGCUAACUACGUG